rnacentral:rRNA from 1 species
GUGUCAGCAGCCGCGGUAAUACGUAUGGUGCUAACGUUGUUCGGAAUCACUGGGCUUAAAGAGCACGUAGGCGGUUGAGAAAGUCUGAUGUGAAAGCCCCCGGCCCAACCGGGGAAUUGCAUCAGAAACUACUUGUCUAGAGUGCAGGAGGGGAGAGUGGAAUUCCUGGUGGAGCGGUGAAAUGCGUAGAUAUCAGGAGGAACGCCGGUGGCGAAAGCGACUCUCUGGCCUGUUACUGACGCUGAGGUGCGAAAGCUAGGGGAGCAAACGGGAUUAGAAACCCUCGUAGUCC